rnacentral:rRNA from 1 species
AUACGGAGGGUGCAAGCGUUAUCCGGAAUCAUUGGGUUUAAAGGGUCCGCAGGCGGACUGAUAAGUCAGUGGUGAAAUCCCGUAGCUUAACUACGGAACUGCCAUUGAAACUGUCAGUCUUGAAUUCGGUCGAAGUGGGCGGAAUGUGUCAUGUAGCGGUGAAAUGCAUAGAUAUGACACAGAACACCGAUAGCGAAGGCAGCUCACUAGGCCUGAAUUGACGCUCAGGGACGAAAGCGUGGGGAGCGAUCAGGAUUAGAAACCCUAGUAGUCC